GACGAACGCUGGCGGCGUGCUUAACACAUGCAAGUCGAACGGUAAGGCCCUUCGGGGUACACGAGUGGCGAAAGGGUGAGUAACACGUGGGUGAUCUGCCCUGCACUUCGGGAUAAGCCUGGGAAACUGGGUCUAAUACCGGUUAGGACCACUGCCUGCAUGGGGGGUGGUGGAAAGCUUUUGCGGUGUGGGAUGGGCCCGCGGGCUAUCAGCUGGUUGGUGGGGUGAUGGCCUACCAAGGCGACGACGGGUAGCCGGCCUGAGAGGGUGACCGGCCACACUGGGACUGAGAUACGGCCCAGACUCCUACGGGAGGCAGCAGUGGGGAAUAUUGCACAAUGGGCGCAAGCCUGAUGCAGCGACGCCGCGUGAGGGAUGACGGCCUUCGGGUUGUAAACCUCUUUCAGCACCGACGAAGCGCAAGUGACGGUAGGUGCAGAAGAAGGACCGGCCAACUACGUGCCAGCCGCCGCCGUAA
rnacentral:rRNA from 1 species